rnacentral:tRNA from 1 species
UUUACCCGAGAGGCUAAGGGGGAAGACUUAAAAUCUUCUUCACAUAAGUGCGUGUGGGUUCGAACCCUACAA